rnacentral:tRNA from 1 species
CGAGGUAUAGCAUACAUAAUGCUUUUUACUUACACUAAAAAAAUAGUCAAUAGACUUACUCCGC